rnacentral:lncRNA from 1 species
UACCAAGACACUAAUGAAAAACUCGUGACUCUCUCCAGAGCCUCCACAGCUGGCUGUGAUUGGUCAUUAAGUUAAAACAAUUCACAUGAAACCAAUGAAACAAUGACCAGUUGGUAGACAACGUCCAAACCACACUCCAAAGCAGCAAAACACAGGAGAAGUGAAUCAGAUAAUUAUUGUUUUCAUUUUUCUCUGAGGCUUCUCAGCUUCCCAGAAGAAGAAAUCCUGGCGAAGGGAUUUUCCAGAAAAUAUGACGAUGACAUGGAGUGGCAUUCCCCAGGGAGGAUGCCUGUCCUGGUCCCACUGGGAUCCUCCAGCUGCCUCCCAUCCCCUCAGGUGCCAGGUCUGGCAGGGGUGACAAAAGGCCAUGGCAGGAACACCAACACCCAACUCAUCGUGCCAGACCUGGAGACAGAAACCUGGAAAAAUUCCAAACACGGAGGACACGAAACUCCAUGGACCAUGGGAAUGCAUUCAUCUCCAGGAAAGCACCCAGAGGAUGAUGGACACCCCUCAAAGCCUGCUUGGAUAAAAGGAAAAAAAGCUUUUCAUCCCAGUGCUGAGCCAGAGAGAACUUGUUGAAGCUGGGUGGCAGUGGGAGGGCAUCAGCACUGGAGCCAAACCUGGAGCAGCCACAACAGCAGCCAGCCAACUGUGGGCGGGAAGCAUCGCCUCCAGAAAUCAAACCCACUGCUAUCCCCAAAACAGCUUGGAGAUCCAAGGGUGGGGAUCCCCCCCAAUCAGGCUUUUCCCUGGCAUGGUUUUGGGGGGAUAUUGGAGUUAAGGCUCAGACCCACCUCAGCAGGCACAAGCCCACCUCUAAACCAGUGUGGGCUGCUCGAACUGUGAUGCUGGAAAAGCCAACAGAGACAAUCUUAACCACGCCAGCCUCUUUCCAUGCCCUUGUCCCUUCUCCAGGGGAACAAUCACUGCUGAGGAUCUUUGCCAAAAUUAGUUUCUUUAAGAUCUGAGGGAUCUUCCUGCUGCUGCACCGAGCAGUGGGAGUGAGCCCAUAAAUCCAGUUAGUCACAGUCGCUGGAUUACAUCGGACCUUGUCCUUCUGCCUUUAAUAACACAAUUGUUUGCUGCAUAAGGAGCUUUAUGUAACUGGGAAUCAGGGGUGAUCCGCAGCACUGCCCAGGCUGGAGCUGUCAGCCCUCCCUCCUCUCUGGGCUCGUCUGAACCUCCUGCUGCCAGGCAGUAUCUGAGAAAUAAAUGACCUCCUUGCUGUGGCA